CAUUUGGGAAUGCAAAAACUGCCCACAACAACAACUCGAGUCGCUUCGGCAAGUUCAUCCAAGUGAAUUACCAGGAGAGUGGCACUGUCCGAGGAGCCUAUGUGGAGAAGUACCUUCUGGAGAAAUCAAGACUGGUCUACCAGGAGCACAAUGAACGGAACUACCAUGUGUUUUACUACGCUGGCAGGAGCAAGUGAGGAGGAGAGGAGCGCCUUUCACCUCAAAAAGCCUGAAGAAUAUCAUUACCUCAAGCACCAGGUGAGAGAUCCAGUAGGA